AGAGUUUGAUUCUGGCUCAGGACGAACGCUGGCGGCGUGCUUAACACAUGCAAGUCGAGCGGUAAGGCCCUUCGGGGUACACGAGCGGCGAACGGGUGAGUAACACGUGGGUGAUCUGCCCUGCACUUCGGGAUAAGCCUGGGAAACUGGGUCUAAUACCGGAUAUGACCAAAGGCUGCAUGGCUUUUGGUGGAAAGGUUUACUGGUGCAGGAUGGGCCCGCGGCCUAUCAGCUUGUUGGUGGGGUAAUGGCCUACCAAGGCGACGACGGGUAGCCGACCUGAGAGGGUGACCGGCCACACUGGGACUGAGACACGGCCCAGACUCCUACGGGAGGCAGCAGUGGGGAAUAUUGCACAAUGGGCGAAAGCCUGAUGCAGCGACGCCGCGUGAGGGAUGAAGGCCUUCGGGUUGUAAACCUCUUUCAGCAGGGACGAAGCGAGAGUGACGGUACCUGCAGAAGAAGCACCGGCUAACUACGUGCCAGCAGCCGCGGUAAUACGUAGGGUGCGAGCGUUGUCCGGAAUUACUGGGCGUAAAGAGUUCGUAGGCGGUUUGUCACGUCGUCUGUGAAAACCCACCGCUCAACGGUGGGCCUGCAGGCGAUACGGGCAGACUUGAGUACUGCAGGGGAGACUGGAAUUCCUGGUGUAGCGGUGAAAUGCGCAGAUAUCAGGAGGAACACCGGUGGCGAAGGCGGGUCUCUGGGCAGUAACUGACGCUGAGGAACGAAAGCGUGGGUAGCAAACAGGAUUAGAUACCCUGGUAGUCCACGCCGUAAACGGUGGGCGCUAGGUGUGGGUUCCUUCCACGGGAUCUGUGCCGUAGCUACGCAUUAAGCGCCCCGCCUGGGGAGUACGGCCGCAAGGCUAAACUCAAAUGAAUUGACGGGG
rnacentral:rRNA from 1 species